CAAUAGCGUAUAUUAAAGUUGUUGCAGUUAAAAAGCUCGUAGUUGGAUUUCUGGUAGGAGUGACCGUUCCGAACUUGAUUGUUCGUGUAUUGUGUUUUCUCCAGCCAUCCUUGUGGAGAACUUUUCUUGCAUUAAUUUGUAGGGAUUGGGACCCGCAUCGUUUACUGUGAAAAAAUUAGAGUGUUUAAAGCAGGCAAUCGCUUGAAUACAUUAGCAUGGAAUAAUAAGAUAGGACUUUGGUACUAUUUUGUUGGUUUGCAUACCAAAUUAAUGAUCAACAGGAACAGUUUGAGGAUAUUCGUAUGAACAUGUCAAAGGUGAAAUUCUUGGAUUUUGAUCAGACGAACUACUGCGAAAGCAUUUAUCAAGGAUGUUUUCAUUAA
rnacentral:rRNA from 1 species